rnacentral:rRNA from 1 species
UACGUAGGGGGCUAGCGCUGUCCGGAAUCAUUGGGCGUAAAGAGCGCGUAGGCGGCCAGAUAAGUCCGGUGUGAAAGUCAAAGGCUCAACCUUUGAAUGCCGCUGGAAACUGUCUGGCUAGAGUCCGGGAGGGGCGAGUGGAAUUCCUGGUGUAGCGGUGAAAUGCGCAGAUAUCAGGAGGAACACCGAUGGCGAAGGCAGCUCGCUGGGACGGUACUGACGCUGAGGCGCGAAAGCGUGGGGAGCAAACAGG